ACGAUUAUACGCAUCAAAUUUGUUCAUGGGCGAAGGAAGCAAACCCUAGAUCACAAAAUUGAAAUUCGAAACUCUGUUGUAAGGCAGCAUCAGUGAUCAAAAAUACCUAAUUGCUGUUUGCGUGGUGGUGGAUUAUCCCUCAAUUUGAAGAAAAAGAAUUCUGAUAUUUGCCGUAGAGAUUGCUGAUCAUGAGGUUCAAAAAGGGAGAUACAGUGGAGGUUAUGGACAGUAGGGAGAUGCCAGUUUCAUGGCAUAUCAGAGAGGUUGUAAGCAGCGGUGUUUAUACAUAUCGUGUGCGCUGUGUGUCUAAUGGUCAAAUCAUAGAGACGGUUCCAUUGAAGUCUGUGAGGCCAUUGCCUCCUCCGGUGCAAGGUCUCGAGAAUUGCAGUGCUGGAGACAUUGUGGAGUUGUUUCAUGAAAAUUCAUGGAAGCCUGCUGUUAUCUUGAAGAUAAUGGAAAAGAAAGAAGGAAAUAGGAGGAAGAUCCAUCUGCUCGAUGAAACAUUCCGAAAGUGGUAUUUAAUAAGGCUGCUUGGGAGCUCGCACGAAUUAGUUGUUAACAGGCGGAAUCUCAGAAUUAGACAGGCCUGGUGUGGGGGCAAAUGGAUUGUAAUGGGGAAGGGUUCUGAAGCAGAGAAGGAAGUGGUGGCCAGCAAACCAUCAACAUCAAAUUGUUAUCGAAAGAAGAUUUUCCAAGCAUCUCAACAAAUUGCAAGGGCUGAAUAUCAAUCCAAAAGGUAUUUCAAAGACAAUCAAGACGAUGCAAUGCUGGGGGAGUCUUCUCUGGUCUCAUCAAGAUCCCUAAAGAGGAGAAAUUCACGUUCCACUGUUGUCGAAGCACAAAAUGGACGGGCCCAAAAGUUAAGGGCAAUUGAGAAAGAAGGCAUGAAGCAGAGAGUGCCUUCUGCCCCAUUGUAUGAAAAGGUAGAUGUUGUUGGUUACUCAAAAGAAAUUUUGGGUGAAACGGACAUACUUGCUUCCCAUAACAACUUUACAUCUAAUGGGCAUAAUCAAAUGGAGCGGAUAAAGCAAAAUGAUGUACCUGGCUAUAAUUUGGUGAGAAGCUCUGAACUAAAUAAUUCUGACAGCGAUGCUUCUUCUGUUGGCAGCUGUAGUCUUACGAAACAAAGUCCAGGAAAUUAUUAUGGUCAGUUUAGAUCUACAUAUUACCAAGAAACAGACACCUCUUGUAGUGAUGCCGAGUCAUCUAAUGGCAGAGAAACUUCAUCACUUCCUCCAAAAGAGGUAUUCGAGGUCAGUAUGCUUCAUAGGCUAGAGCUGCAUGCUUAUCGCUGCACUCUUGAAGCUUUGUAUGCUUCUGGUACCUUAAGUUGGGAGCAGGAAUCAUUGUUGACUGAUCUUCGUAUUACGCUUCACAUUUCAAAUGACGAACAUUUGCAGGAGCUGAGGCACUUAAUUUCACGUAAAACUUCUCUUGCUGGUAGAUCAUAGCGAAAGGGUGUUCUUGUUAUCGUGCAUUUCAGCAUUUCUCUCAUUCACAGAUUAACAUAUUACUUUUUUAUAUUCCAUAAGUGUACGAAAGAAGCAUGAAUUGUACACUGUAGGUCUCAUCUCAGUUAUUUAUGUGCAGAUAGCACUUUUGUAAACUACAGGAUACAUGUAUCAUACUCUCUUUCUUUAAUUGAUGUGGACAGUUUUUUGAAGAAAUGGUUGUGUAUUAAUUCAGAUUCAUUGUGUAGUAUCCUGAAAUAGAAUACAAUACGCACAUCUGAUUCAUAACUUAGUUUGCUUGAAUGCUAAUGUUAGGAAACUAAUACAGGCAUGUGAUACUUUUUCUAUUGCUAUGCUUAAGCUUUUCGGGAGCGCAUUGAAUGUAUUUAGGAUCAUUUAUUUAUUUACUUAUUGGUAUUUGGAGGAUGCGAUUGAUCAUAGCUGUUCUGUUCCAGAGCUAAGGUUGGACGCACGUUGGUUUGUUGAUUCAAUGAUGAUUCCAGGGCUUGCUGCCUUUCAUUUGGCACUGAACUUUGGAUGAUUGUUUCGAACAGAUGCCGAGCCCUGGUAUCAUGCAUUUUAAUCUACAAUAUAUUUUCUAUUUGUGUUUUCGAAAUUUACUCCAGGCUUAACAGGAUGGAAGGAUGGAUGCAUCAACAUCCGGUACUACAGGAAGAGGAGACAUUAUCACAAGCAGCGGAGCUCGAAAGCCAUUUCCGGCAGAGCCAACAGAGAGUGUAAGGAGCUGCUGCAUAAGUUACAUAUUUUUACCCUUUUUAGCAACAAGUAUAGAUAAACGAACUUAUUUUAACCUUGUAAAGUUAAAUUAUUUGGUAUUAUAAUUCAUUACAGCCAA